ACACGGGGGGCGCAAGCGUUAUUCGGAAUUAUUGGGCGUAAAGGGCGUGUAGGCGGUUUUAUCAGUCAGAUGUGAAAGCCCAGGGCUCAACCCUGGACGUGCAUUUGAAACAGUAAGACUUGAGUACGGUAGAGGAAAGCGGAAUUCCUGGUGUAGAGGUGAAAUUCGUAGAUAUCAGGAGGAACACCGAUGGCGAAGGCAGCUUUCUGGACCGAAACUGACGCUGAUGCGCGAAGGCGUGGGUAGCGAACAGGAUUAGAAACCCCAGUAGUCC
rnacentral:rRNA from 1 species